CAGUAGCCGCGGGAAUACAGAGGGUGCAAGCGUUAAUCGGAAUUACUGGGCGUAAAGCGCGCGUAGGUGGUUUGUUAAGUUGGAUGUGAAAGCCCCGGGCUCAACCUGGGAACUGCAUCCAAAACUGGCAAGCUAGAGUACGGUAGAGGGUGGUGGAAUUUCCUGUGUAGCGGUGAAAUGCGUAGAUAUAGGAAGGAACACCAGUGGCGAAGGCGACCACCUGGACUGAUACUGACACUGAGGUGCGAAAGCGUGGGGAUCAAACAGGAUUAGAUACCCCGGUAGUCCCUGUCUCUUAUAC
rnacentral:rRNA from 1 species